GUGUGUGUGUGUGUGUGUGUGAGAGACAGACCUCUCUGCAGGCCGCAUCACUCCGUCGCCUCCCUGUCACUCCAGGCCCCCAGAGCCGUCCCCCAUUCACAAGGAGCACGUCACAUGGUCAGGCAGAGUUGCUGCAAGGCCGAGCACAGAGGGACUUCAGAGGCUUUUCUUUUCCACAUGACUGCUCACUCGCAUUUCAGUCCUUCCCCAUUACUGAAGAAUCCAGUGUUAAAUAUUACAGAGAGAAGAAUUUAUUUUAGCCAUUUAGUGAUUGACACUGAACCCAGACCACUGCCCAUAAUCACGCCAUAUCCCCAGACCUGGAAAAGAAAAAAAUAGUUUUAAUUAUUAAUACUUACAGUCCCUGUGCCUUUUGCUAAGUCUUUGUACCUGGUGCUGUACACAACAUGCAUUUCCACUGAAGUCUUUCAGACGUAACAGCACCUUGGAAAGGAAGUUCCAGGGAUAGUGGGUACUGAAGCCAUGAGGCCUUGGCUUCCACACAUGAGACAGCUGGAUCUGUCGCACAUGAGACCAGGACCUCUACCCAGAGACCUCACAACCUCAAGUGCCUUGGGGAGAGGUGUAUUCCUCAAAGUCUUCGUGGAAGGAUGGAUAUUUCAAAGAAUUCUAAUGCAACAAAAGGACACUGAUGGCAGCUGGAGAGGCUCAUGUUUUUAUAGUAGGGACGCUCAGGGGUCCUGCUGAGCCCAGGAGAGAGCAGAUGAUGUCUCAAGUGAAAGGAGGUGAGGAAGACCCUGGGCAAAGAGAACACCAACUGACCGAGAAGGGUGGGAAGAGAAGGGUUAAGAACGCAUUGGUGGUGUGAUCUGCACAAGCAAGCAGAAACUAUUGGAAUGGGUGAACAAAGAAAAUCCAUACAGCAAAGAUGGAAACUAAAAGAACUGCGGUAAGAAAUUCAGGAAGACAAUAAAGGUGAUCAGGAAAACCAUGCCUGAGGAGUAAGAAUUAGGCCUCCAGGAAGAUGGCGAAGCAGCAGCUUCCCUUGUUUGUGUAAGGAGAAGUGACACCUUCCAAGGCUCAGAAGGAAAUUCUUCAAGCCAAAGGCUGAGAUUUACUAGAAGAAGGCAGGUUGAGGGAGACUGAUUUAUAGCCUUCACCUUGAGACCAAAUAUUAAGAAAUUAUAGCUACCAAAUUGUGUUGGCAAGCCAUAUAAAAGACCAUAAAGCAACGAACAAUGGAGUGAGAGAUUUAUGCAAGUUGGUCACGGCCAGAUAGGCAGGGCCCCGGAAGAGCUGGGCUGGGUGUGCCUGGGACAGCUCCACGGUUGGGUUCUUUGCUUUGUGCCUGCUGGUCUGUUCUCAGUUCACCAAACAUCCACAGGGAAUUGUGUAUCAAUUACAAUGGUCUCUGAGUGCAUGCCAGAUAGGUCCCCAAAGGCCUGGCCAGAGCAGAAUCCAGUAAAUGUCUGCUGUGUGACCGGAGCUGCUCCAGCUUCCUUUCCAGCCCAGUCUCAGCUAGGACGUCACCACUUCUUAAUUACCCAUCAAAGCACUGCUUGCUGGGCCACUGAUGUGCAGAAUCCCUGUCUUCCGCCACUGCUUCAGUCCCAAAACAGGGAUGAAAGUGAAAAAGGAAACUGGAAGAGAACCCACAGAAACGGUAUCUAAUGCAGGAGUGGGAAAGGAGAUUAAGUCUAUUAAAUGUAUCUUUAUUUUCUCUGAACAAAUUGUCUCUCUUUAACAUCUUUGUCAUCGGUUUGUGUUACAGCAGGGUGCAUUUUGGAAACGGAGGUAGGCAGAGUGGUUUACAAGCCCGGGAGGCAAUUUUCAGCUUAGUCAUGCUCAGCAGUGAGAGGCUAAUUUGGGAGCAGAGAGAUGUUUUGCUGAGUGUGGCUGCUACAAUUUUAGAUUUAAUGAUACACUGUGAUAGCUGUGGCUCAUCGUCACACCUAGAGCAACCUGGAGAGAACGAAAGUGAACAGGAAGGGCACUUACUCUUCAUAUCCUGGCUUCUCACUGUCUCUCCCUACCAUUUGCCCAGUAUCCACCAGGAACCCAUUGCAGACCACCACUGAGCAGCCGGCAUUUUAGGGGGACCCCUCAUGCCAAAGAAUAAGAAAACAGGGCUAACUAAUGACAGUCAACAGGCAAAAGCAUCAGAGAAUCGAGACUGGCUAGGAAACAGGAGCAAGGCACUGCGGCACAGUCGCACCGGAAUGUUUAAUCCAAAGCUGAAGGACCCCGGUAGGACUGGAUGGAUCUUGUUAAAACAUGGAGGUCACAGAAAAAUGAAUCAACCUUAUAGAUUUUUUAACCUGUUACCUAAUACAAGUGUAAGAACUUAACUGAAUCCGCAGCCAAAGCUGUAUUAAAACAAAGGUAAUUGUGCCACAGAUGCCACAUGUGAUACCAUAUGUGGUCCAGAAGAAACACAGCCUCCCAGCUGAAGAGUCCCACCCAAGCCGUGCGGGUCUGUGCUAUGGUCCUAAGCUUAAGUCUUCCUGCAUACAUUCUGCAGGCAACUGCUGAGCUGAGAAAGUAAACCAAGCAGCUGCUGACAUCACCUGGAGUUCCAGGCAGCCACACCCCUCCAAAGCUCAUACUUUAGCAGGAACUCAGCACAGCCACCUCCCAGGCCCUGUGGGAUGCACAGGUGGCUGGAGAGCUGCAGUGACGGAUGCUCGUGGCCAGGGGUUUCCUAAGUGUUGCUCCUGACCAGCAAUGUCUCUGGUCCCUGUCCUCUGGAAACAGACUUGUACCAUGGUUGGCCCCCGGCUGGGCUUCCAGGUCACCCAGCCCCCAGACUGUCCUUCUAAACCUUUAACCCUUUCCACCAGUCACAACAGCAAGUUGUGUAAGCAAAAUCCCCAUCCUUCCCAUGGAUUGAAUGUCAGCUUCACCAAACAGAGCAGCUAAAAUCUACUUGUUUAACAAAAAGCCAUAGUAAAUGAAUUUUACAACUUUAGUCCUCAUGUUUAUCCUUGAGGAAAAGUGUUGGUAGGCGCUAAAUAAAUGAUCACAUGUCAUUUAUCAUACGGAGAAAAACCCUUCUGGACGACUUCACAACAGGUGCUCAUCCUGAAUGCUUGGUUGGAUGAAGACGUAAGAGCAGUGGUGGCAACCAAUUCAAGGUAAUGAAGCUCAG